UUUUGGGUUUAAUUUAGUUAAAUUGUUAAUAACUAUGUUGUAAAUGGUUUUCCAGGCGAUGUUUGUUUUUGUUUAAUACCCAAAAGUGUUUAUUGAAAUCUAGAUUUGGCAUAUUUGUGAGAUCUAGAAGAUUAAAAAAUAAAGAGGAGUCAUCAUGAUGGUCUCCUGGAAAAAUGCCCACAAGAGAGUGGAAAUUGUAUACCUCCCUAUUCAUCUAGGCAGGUGGUGGUCGGUCGGCUAGUGGUGACAUGGUAUUACCUAGAGGCAAUGGACGGAAGCUGAUUACCGCAUUUAGGGGGUAACCUUGGGAUACAUACUUAUUAUUAUACCAUUGAUCUCAGCAGAAUCACUAACACACACCCAUAAUAGAGCGCGAUGUCUGGUGUGCCUUUCAGUAAAGCUCUUGUUGUCUUCAAACACUAUGGUGGCCGAAUAUUUACAAGAAACGGUUUUAGCUAAAGAGCUGAAAUAUGGACAGGAGGUUGGUCUCCCACCAAAUAGAUCCACUAAGACGGGAUUUUUGGAAAUUCGGAUGAUUAGGGGUUUAAAAAUGUUGUUUUGUAUGGCAACACUGCGAAGUUUAAUCUGUACUCAAAAACAUCAAAGGAGAUUAACAUCAGAAUCAAAAUAUAUUCAGAUUAACUAAUCUGUUUUUUAAUUGUCAUUUGAUUGCCAAUUCAAAAACCCGUUCUAAAUCGGUUUAAUUUUGAUAAGUUUUAGAUUUAUAUUGAACAUUUAGGAGGUUUUUUAAUUAUAUAUAAUUAUAAUUAUAUAGUCAAAGAAAUAGAAUCGAUAAUAUAUUUAAAAUUCUAAAAAUUUAUUUUUUUAAACAAUUUAAAAAGUAUUUUUAUGGAAAAAUUAUAUAUAU